GAUGAACGCUGGCGGCGUGCCUAAUACAUGCAAGUCGAGCGAACAGACGAGGAGCUUGCUCCUCUGACGUUAGCGGCGGACGGGUGAGUAACACGUGGAUAACCUACCUAUAAGACUGGGAUAACUUCGGGAAACCGGAGCUAAUACCGGAUAACAUGUUGAACCGCAUGGUUCAACAGUGAAAGACGGUCUUGCUGUCACUUAUAGAUGGAUCCGCGCCGCAUUAGCUAGUUGGUAAGGUAACGGCUUACCAAGGCAACGAUGCGUAGCCGACCUGAGAGGGUGAUCGGCCACACUGGAACUGAGACACGGUCCAGACUCCUACGGGAGGCAGCAGUAGGGAAUCUUCCGCAAUGGGCGAAAGCCUGACGGAGCAACGCCGCGUGAGUGAAGAAGGUCUUCGGAUCGUAAAACUCUGCUAUUAGGGAAGAACAAAUGUGUAAAUAACUAUGCACGUCUUGACGGUACCUAAUCAGAAAGCCACGGCUAACUACGUG
rnacentral:rRNA from 1 species